GCCCGGGUGGCGAAAUUGGUAGACGCGCUGGCUUCAGGAGUCAGUUCCCUUACGGGAUUGGGAGUUCGAGUCUCCCCUCGGGCA
rnacentral:tRNA from 1 species